rnacentral:rRNA from 1 species
UACGUAGGGUGCAAGCGUUGUCCGGAAUUAUUGGGCGUAAAGAGCUCGUAGGCGGUUUGUUGCGUCGGCUGUGAAAUCCCGAGGCUCAACCUCGGGUCUGCAGUCGAUACGAGCAAACUAGAGUGUUGCAGGGGAGACUUGAAUUCCUGGUGUAGCGGUGAAAUGCGCAGAUAUCAGGAGGAACACCGGUGGCGAAGGCGGGUCUCUGGGCAACAACUGACGCUGAGGAGCGAAAGCGUGGGGAGCGAACAGG